ensembl:lncRNA
UGGGGGAGAGGUUUAAGUCUUAAUGACAACGCUUUGGUCUCUUGAUGGCAAAGACUGGGUCCUACAGUCCCAGCCUGAUGAGGGAGAACAGGAACUUCUGUUCUUCGUGGCAAACCUUCUGUUACUCCUCGUGCAGUUCUUUUCUUUCUGUUGUAUGUGUUACUGUCCGGAAUCUCUCCGAGGAAAGCUGUUAGAAAUUUAGAGGUAGGACUGGAAUUUGGGUCUGUUCUCUACAAACUCCUGCAAAGCCUGAAUGGCUGGGCUGAUGACUGCUCUUAACAAAGGUGGUUUAUUAAUAUUCCGUCAGAUUUCCCUCAGCUCUAGGCAGGACAGGCAAGGGUUCGGGUCGGGAAUUGUGCAAGCAAGACCUGUUAUUUCUCCUGUGCGUGUGUCAGUUUGGCAGAGCUAGGACAAGGAGAACUCGUGCAGGCACCUCCAGAGACAGCGGGAAAAUUCCAGGUGGUGGGUGCUGAGAAAUUUGUCCUUCCCUUGUCCUGUGCUCUGCACUUAGCAAUGGGUCAAGUGCAGAAGUUUCCUGGGGACUCUGGAAAAUGAUGCCGGGUCUGCUAAGAAAAGUGGGGCCAAAAGAGCAGGACCUGGGUCUGCGAGUGUGGGAGAAACAAGGGAGAGAGCAAUGGACGGGUCAUCCUCUGCCUCCAGGAGGGAGGGCAGCAGGAAAGGCCAUGGACUAAACCACUGAAGUGCUGUUCCCCAGGGAGCCCCUGCCCAGCACUGAACUUGCUUCUGCACUUGCCGUCCCUUUUCCAGUGGAGCCGAAGUGUUGGGUGUGGGUGCUGGGGGGAUGGAGCUGCCAAGGACAAACUGGGAGGGUGUUUGAGAAGGAAGGGGGUAGAAGGAGCUCUUGACGUGCUUUUUUUACUUCUUCAUCCCACAGAAUUGCCAUGAGAGGAAAUACCUCAGAGGGGCUUCCCUCCAUAUAUACCCUGAAUAUGCCAGGACGUUUCAGAUGGGAGAAUGGAGCUGUGGAAAAAAACCAGCCUAAAAAUAGCCAGUGGGGAUUAUCAGGUUUUCCAGCCAAGAAAAACAAGGACGGAGAUGAGGGAAUCGAGUUCCAAUUAAUAAUGAUUUGGAAGUGGGCUGGGACAAGGGAAUUGGCUCCCACGAGGCCGAGGAUCAGAGUGGGCUCUGCACAGAGGACGACUUCCACUUCCGAACAGGGAAGGGCGCCUUCGUCCCCAUCCCCAGCAAACUGGGACGGAGUAACAUCUGCCUCCAACUGGCUGGAGUUCCCAUUGGCUCUGGGCUUUCUGUUCACGGGCCGGGGAUCAUGGCCAGAGUCAUUCAAACCUGGGGAACAGUGGCCUUCACAGCAUCCCUGCAGCCUGUCCAGGGCAGGCUGCUGCGCAUCGGCCCCUGAUCGCAGGUGGAUGUAGAAGUGGUAGUGUUUAGGGAAUGCUGAUUGUAUUUCCCUGACUUUAGCAACGUGGUCAUUAAAAAGAGAAAAAUAACAAGUCUAUGGAAAUCCCCUGCACUUGGGAGCUUGCGGUGCUCUGGAUUAAAUCUUGGCUCUUAAUGUUAAAACUGUGGGCGAGGGGCGGGGCGGUGGCCGAGCAGGGC